CAUAUUACUCUUCAAUAUAUUUAUUUUCAGCUUGCUAUAAUCGGUGCGACCAUCGUUCUCGCUGGUCUCAAGAUCUUGAGGUCCCUUGUGGACAAUGCUACUCAUCUGUUGGUGUUGGUCAUUGUGGCAGACAUUUUGGCACUUGUCUCAUUUUGUUUAUUCUGUUACUUGGCAGACGAAUUCAGAAAGGUAUGUAGUGUGUUUCCUCUUUCUAUAUUCAUACCAAAUGUUUUAGUAAUUUAGUAGGGCACAGCUGACACCCUUGCCUCCUGUACUACAACACUUGUACGCUUCCUUUAAUAAACCCUAUUUUAGUAAGAACCUUCGAGCCUAAUAGUCUUCAACUAUAGUUCUGACAAUGCACUAGAACCGACGCGCUUUCUAUAUUUCAAUACUAACGCACAUCGCGUAUCUUUCAAAAGCUUCUUUAUAGUUUUCACCUGUUGGUAGCAUACUGAGCAUUUUGUUGUUUUUUUUUCAUCCAUUUGCUCAUCUUUUAAUACUAACAAAACUGCAUUUUAACACCUCUAUACCAUGCCUGUGGUACAUCAUAUAUACCCUUCCGUAGU